AAGACCUUGCGCUUUUGGAGCGGCCGAUGCCUGAUUAGCUUGUUGGUAAGGUAAAAGCUUACCAAGGCUUCGAUCAGUAGCUGGUCUGAGAGGACGACCAGCCACACUGGGACUGAGACACGGCCCAGACUCCUACGGGAGGCAGCAGUGGGGAAUUUUGGACAAUGGGGGCAACCCUGAUCCAGCCAUGCCGCGUGAGUGAAGAAGGCCUUCGGGUUGUAAAGCUCUUUCAGCCGGAACGAAACGGUUACGGAUAACACCCGUGACUACUGACGGUACCGGAAGAAGAAGCACCGGCUAACUACGUGCCAGCAGCCGCGGUAAUACGUAGGGUGCGAGCGUUAAUCGGAAUUACUGGGCGUAAAGCGUGCGCAGGUGGUUUUGUAAGUCAGAUGUGAAAGCCCCGAGCUCAACCUGGGAACU
rnacentral:rRNA from 1 species